CUAGCGUUGCUCGGAAUCACUGGGCGUAAAGCGCACGUAGGCGGAUUCCUAAGUCGGGGGUGAAAUCCUGGAGCUCAACUCCAGAACUGCCUUCGAUACUGGGAAUCUUGAGUCCGGAAGAGGUGAGUGGAACUGCGAGUGUAGAGGUGAAAUUCGUAGAUAUUCGCAAGAACACCAGUGGCGAAGGCGGCUCACUGGUCCGGUACUGACGCUGAGGUGCGAAAGCGUGGGGAGCAAACAGG
rnacentral:rRNA from 1 species